GGAGGCAGUAGUGUUUUGCUGCAGUGACAUCUCGGUGCUGGCGACUCGCUGCUGGCGAUGACUCGCUGCUGGCGAAUCGAUCUGCGCAUGUGUAUAAAAUGGUAUUUACUUCCGAAAACAUGCCUGCUGCACGCGCUCACUUUUCUCUGACUGAAACUCAGUUCCUGGCAAGUUGCGGAGAUCAUGUAAUUAAGGCAGCUUCCACAUCCAAUUCUUUAUUUGUACUCUAUGAAAUAGAGACAGAAUAUAUGAAGAACUUUGACUAGUAUCGAAUAGCCUUGCUUGAAGCUGUUGCAGCAUCCAAAAGAAAAUCUACAGCUACCUUCCUGUUUGGUAACAAAUCCAUGCUGCGUUCAUAACAAAAUGGAAGACUUGCAAGUCAUAAUGGCCGUAUUUGACUGGUCGUUCUUCAUUAAACCACGCCCACUUGAGCAGUGGUAAUAUCCUACUUAACGAAGAAGACCUUUUGAAUAUAAAACUGGUAAAUACUCAACAAAACAAAAAGGCUACAUAGUUAUCCCAAUGAUACAUCAUGCAUAAUCAAGGUUUAAAAAAAAAAUAAAUGUUUUCAUCCAGUUUUUAAAUUCUGUUAGCCUAUAAUUAUUUUUUGACUUCAUGUGCGUAAAUGUUAAAAUUUUUAAUUUCUGAAAUUUAAUCUAAAUUAUAUUAAUGCAGAGUUGUUGCUAAACCAAUUGGCCAUGUUUGUUUUGGUCACGCGAAUAAUGCUAAUUAACACACACUGGUUUACAUUAAUUUUAUAUCUAUUUUACAAACCAGUAGAAUGGAAAUAAUACUCAACGAAAAAUUGUAGUCAACAAAAUGAACUAGUCAAAUAAGCCCAUUAACAAUUUAUGCAGGUGUUGUGUAUGCUGUCAAAAACCAGGUUCAAUAGCAAUGGAAUUGCUCCAGAGGAGGAUGAGGGGUGGCAACAUAACACUAUACUCUCUAGCAGUCAGGGCCCAGCCAGAGGGGUGUUGAGGGGUUUUAACACUCUCUAAAAUAAAUCGAAAUAAACAAAAAAUCCCGAUAAUGUAGUAGUAAACGUAAAAUAUAGGCCUUUAUGUAUGAUUUAUGUAUUGAUUUAUUAUGAUUUACAGAGGAUCCCGGAGGUACUGUCCAACAGGCCCCCCCCCCCCUUAGAAUAAA